rnacentral:rRNA from 1 species
UACAGAGGUGGCAAGCGUUGUUCGGAAUUACUGGGCGUAAAGGGCGCGUAGGCGGCCCGUCAAGUCCCGUGUGAAAGCCCCCGGCUCAACCGGGGAACGGCGCGGGAAACUAGCAGGCUUGAGUUCGGGAGAGGGAAGCGGAAUUCCGGGUGUAGCGGUGAAAUGCGCAGAUAUCUGGAGGAACACCGGUGGCGAAGGCGGCAUCCUGGACCGAGAUUGACGCUGAGGCGCGAAAGCCAGGGGAGCAAACGGG